rnacentral:misc_RNA from 1 species
GAUGAAGAACGUAGCGAAAUGCGAUAAUUAAUGUGAAUUGCAGAAUUCCGUGAAUCAUCAAGUCUUUGAACGCACAUUGCGCCUCAUGGCAUUCCGUGAGGCAUGCCCAUCUCAGCGUUAGAAAAUAUUCUCAAAUUUUAGUUUUGUGCUAAAAUUUGGAUCAUGUCAAGGAAGCUAUUACUAUUAUUGUGAUCGCUCUUUGGAAAUUGAUAGGUCUUUGAGUUGCUACUCAUAGAACGUGAUGAAUCUUUCUUCGUUCUAUUGUAAUUCACUCUGGUAGUCCUAAAACUUGUAUGCCUGUGGCAUAUCUUGUAAUUUGACCUGAGAUUGGGUAGGGAUACCCGCUGAACUUAAGCAUAUCAAUAAGCGGAGGA